AGCUUGCUCCUUUGACGUUAGCGGCGGACGGGUGAGUAACACGUGGGUAACCUACCUAUAAGACUGGGAUAACUUCGGGAAACCGGAGCUAAUACCGGAUAACAUUUGGAACCGCAUGGUUCUAAAGUGAAAGAUGGUUUUGCUAUCACUUAUAGAUGGACCCGCGCCGUAUUAGCUAGUUGGUAAGGUAACGGCUUACCAAGGCGACGAUACGUAGCCGACCUGAGAGGGUGAUCGGCCACACUGGAACUGAGACACGGUCCAGACUCCUACGGGAGGCAGCAGUAGGGAAUCUUCCGCAAUGGGCGAAAGCCUGACGGAGCAACGCCGCGUGAGUGAUGAAGGGUUUCGGCUCGUAAAACUCUGUUAUUAGGGAAGAACAAAUGUGUAAGUAACUGUGCACGUCUUGACGGUACCUAAUCAGAAAGCCACGGCUAACUACGUGCCAGCAGCCGCGGUAAUACGUAGGUGGCAAGCGUUAUCCGGAAUUAUUGGGCGUAAAGCGCGCGUAGGCGGUUUCUUAAGUCUGAUGUGAAAGCCCACGGCUCAACCGUGGAGGGUCAUUGGAAACUGGGAAACUUGAGUGCAGAAGAGGAAAGUGGAAUUCCAUGUGUAGCGGUGAAAUGCGCAGAGAUAUGGAGGAACACCAGUGGCGAAGGCGACUUUCUGGUCUGUAACUGACGCUGAUGUGCGAAAGCGUGGGGAUCAAACAGGAUUAGAUACCCUGGUAGUCCACGCCGUAAACGAUGAGUGCUAAGUGUUAGGGGGUUUCCGCCCCUUAGUGCUGCAGCUAACGCAUUAAGCACUCCGCCUGGGGAGUACGACCGCAAGGUUGAAACUCAAAGGAAUUGACGGGGACCCGCACAAGCGGUGGAGCAUGUGGUUUAAUUUGAAGCAACGCGAAGAACCUUACCAAAUCUUGACAUCCUUUGAAAACUCUAGAGAUAGAGCUUUCCCCUUCGGGGGACAAAGUGACAGGUGGUGCAUGGUUGUCGUCAGCUCGUGUCGUGAGAUGUUGGGUUAAGUCCCGCAACGAGCGCAACCCUUAAGCUUAGUUGCCAUCAUUAAGUUGGGCACUCUAGGUUGACUGCCGGUGACAAACCGGAGGAAGGUGGGGAUGACGUCAAAUCAUCAUGCCCCUUAUGAUUUGGGGUACACACGUGCUACAAUGGACAAUACAAAGGGCAGCUAAACCGCGAGGUCAUGCAAAUCCCAUAAAGUUGUUUUCAGUUCGGAUUGUAGUCUGCAACUCGACUACAUGAAGCUGGAAUCGCUAGUAAUCGUAGAUCAGCAUGCUACGGUGAAUACGUUCCCGGGUCUUGUACACACCGCCCGUCACACCACGAGAGUUUGUAACACCCGAAGCCGGUGGAGUAACCAUUUAUGGAGAUAGCCUUUUUUAAGGGGGCACAAAAAGUU
rnacentral:rRNA from 1 species